rnacentral:rRNA from 1 species
GAGUUUGAUCCUGGCUCAGGAUGAACGCUAGCGGCGUGCUUAAUGCAUGCAAGUCGAACGAACAUAGAGCAAUCUGUGUUAGUGGCGAACGGGUGAGUAAGACGUUGGUGACCUACCCUGGAGAGGGGAAUAACUAGUGGAAACGCUAGCUAACACCCCGGACGUUAUCGGUGUUAGAGGCUGAUAACUAAAACUACGGUGCUCUAGGAGGGGCCAGCGGCCCAUCAGCUAGUUGGUGUGGUAACGGCAUACCAAGGCGAAGACGGGUAGGGGGCGUGAGAGCGUGACCCCCCACACUGGUACUGAGAAACGGACCAGAUACCUACGGGUAGCAGCAGCAAGGAAUAUUGCCCAAUGGACGGAAGUCUGAGGCAGCAACGCCGCGUGAAGGAUGAAGGCCUUCGGGUCGUAAACUUCUUUUCUGAGGGAAGAGAAAGGACGGUACCUCAGGAAUAAGCUUCGGCUAACUACGUGCCAGCAGCCGCGGUAAAACGUAGGAAGCAAGCGUUAUCCGGAUUUACUGGGCGUAAAGGGCAGGCAGGCGGUUGGUUAAGUUGGACUUGAAAGCUCCCGGCUCAACUGGGAGAGGCGGUUCAAAACUGACUGACUAGAGGAUGGUAGAGGAGAGUGGAAUUCCCGGUGUAGUGGUGAAAUGCGUAGAUAUCGGGAGGAACACCAGUGGCGAAAGCGGCUCUCUGGGCCAUUACUGACGCUCAACUGCGAAAGCCAGGGGAGAGAACGGGAUUAGAAACCCCGGUAUUCCUGGCCGUAAACGAUGUUAACUCGGCGUAGGCGGUGUC